CAGCAGCCGCGGUAAUACGUAGGGUGCGAGCGUUAAUCGGAACUACUGGGCGUAAAGCGUGCGCAGGCGGUUGUGUAAGACAGGUGUGAAAUCCCCGGGCUUAACCUGGGAACUGCGCUUGUGACUGCACAGCUAGAGUAUGGCAGAGGGGGGUGGAAUUCCACGUGUAGCAGUGAAAUGCGUAGAGAUGUGGAGGAACACCGAUGGCGAAGGCAGCCCCCUGGGCCAAUACUGACGCUCAUGCACGAAAGCGUGGGGAGCAAACAGGAUUAGAUACCCGCGUAGUCCCUGUCUCUUAUAC
rnacentral:rRNA from 1 species